UACAGAGGGUGCGAGCGUUGUUCGGAAUUACUGGGUGUAAAGGGUUCGUAGGCGGUGCGGCAAGUCGGGAGUGAAAUCUCUGGGCUUAACCCAGAGGCUGCUUCCGAAACUGCUGUGCUUGAGUGUGGGAGAGGCGCGUGGAAUUGCAGGUGUAGCGGUGAAAUGCGUAGAUAUCUGCAGGAACACCCGUGGCGAAAGCGGCGCGCUGGACCACUACUGACGCUGAGUGAACGAAAGCUAGGGGAGCAAACAGG
rnacentral:rRNA from 1 species